ACUCCUACGGGAGGCAGCAGUGGGGAAUAUUGCACAAUGGGCGCAAGCCUGAUGCAGCCAUGCCGCGUGUGUGAAGAAGGCCUUCGGGUUGUAAAGCACUUUCAGUCGUGAGGAAGGUAGUGUAGUUAAUAGCUGCAUUAUUUGACGUUAGCGACAGAAGAAGCACCGGCUAACUCCGUGCCAGCAGCCGCGGUAAUACGGAGGGUGCGAGCGUUAAUCGGAAUUACUGGGCGUAAAGCGCAUGCAGGUGGUUUGUUAAGUCAGAUGUGAAAGCCCGGGGCUCAACCUCGGAAUAGCAUUUGAAACUGGCAGACUAGAGUACUGUAGAGGGGGGUAGAAUUUCAGGUGUAGCGGUGAAAUGCGUAGAGAUCUG
rnacentral:rRNA from 1 species